UGGGGAAUCUUGGACAAUGGGGGCAACCCUGAUCCAGCCAUGCCGCGUGAGUGAUGAAGGCCUUAGGGUCGUAAAGCUCUUUCGCCUGUGAAGAUAAUGACGGUAGCAGGUAAAGAAACCCCGGCUAACUCCGUGCCAGCAGCCGCGGUAAUACGGAGGGGGUUAGCGUUGUUCGGAAUUACUGGGCGUAAAGCGCACGUAGGCGGACCAGAAAGUUGGGGGUGAAAUCCCGGGGGCUCAACCCCGGAACUGCCUCCAAAACUAUUGGUCUAGAGUUCGAGAGAGGUGAGUGGAAUUCCAAGUGUAGAGGUGAAAUUCGUAGAUAUUUGGAGGAACACCAGUGGCGAAGGCGGCUCACUGGCUCGAUACUGACGCUGAGGUGCGAAAGUGUGGGGAGCAAACAGGAUUAGAUACCCUGGUAGUCCACACCGUAAAACGAUGAAUGCCAGUCGUCGGGUAGCAUGCUAUUCGGUGACACACCUAACGGAUUAAGCAUUCCGGCCUGGGGAGUACGGUCGCAAGAUUAAAACC
rnacentral:rRNA from 1 species